GGCGGGGGCGGACUACAACUCCCGGCGUGCUCCCCGGGGCUGAGGCCUACAACUCCCAUCGGACUCCCGGGGCUCCGACUACAACUCCCGGCGACUCCGCAGGGCGGGGGUUAACUGCUCCCACCGCCCAGUCCCCGGACCGACUGUCCCACCCGCGACCCAUGCUGGCCCCAGGUUAACGCCUGCAACCCCGGAGGGCCACAAAUCAAAGGUCUGGCAUCUUGACAACAACGCUGUUCUUGUGUGGCUAAGGAGCACUCCAAAGGUGGAUAAUCAUGAUGAGACGGGAGCAAGCUUAAGGGUACCAGAUGGAUAAUCACAUAUUCAUACCAUGGGACAUGCCCCUCGGAUGCAUCCUCAAGAAGUGAGAAAAGUUUGAACCCCAAACCCUAAAAAGGAAAAGGCUAAUAUUUUUCUGUAACACAGCUUGGGUUGAAUAAAAUCUCCAGGACCAGUAAUGUUGGCCAGAAAACAGAAGCAUAAAUUUUAAUACAAUCCAUCAACUAGAUUUGUUUUGCUGUCAACAGGGAAAAUGAACAGAAAUCCUUUAUGUACAGGCCUUCGUGGCCCUAAUAAACAACCAUGGCCUUUGUCAGGCUUGUAAAAUGGAUCCAGUGAUGAUAGCGGCCAUUGUCAGGCAGCUCCCACCAGUUGGUUUGGGAGGCCUCUUAUUGGGUUUACCCAGGGCUCAAGCCCCAGAGGAACCAAGGGCAGAGCUUGGGUCAAACCCCACUGCCCCUUCUACCCCUUAUAUCCAAGUCUUCCAGCCUUGGAGCCUUGCUCUUUCUAGCCAGGGCCACCCUCUGGACACCACCGCCUUAAGUUAUGCCCUUUUCAAGAGGUUAGCAGCCCCAGUGGACCCACUAGAGUCCAGACUCCGUUCACUAUGUAAGACCUGAGCCAGAUUAAGAUGGAAAUAGGAAGUUUAUGGAAGACCCUGAAAAAUACAUCAAAGCGUUCCGUAAACUGGGCUAAACAUUUGAACCACCUGGAGGGUCCUCUCAGUCAUACUAUGGCAAACUCUGUCUAAGGGAGAAUGUGACUCCAUUACAGAGGUGACCCAGCAAUUUAUAACUACAAUGCACAUGACUGACUCUGGUGGCAACACUGUGGGGGCCACCGCAGUUCCCUAGGUUGACCCUAAUUCGGGUUACCAUACCUGGGGGGGGGUAUAUGGGCAAGGAACCACAUGUUUCUCUGUCUGAUAGAAGGAAUGAAAGCUAGCAAAACAGAGCCUAUGAACUAUAAUAAAUCGGCCUUAAUAGAUCAAGGCCCUCUUGAAAACCCCUAGAGAGGCUACAAGAGGCCCUAAUGAAACAUACUAACCUAGACCCAGACACACCAGAAAGACAACUGACCCUAAAGGACCAUUUCCUAACUCUGGCAGCCCCAGAUAUUCAGAGGAAACUCCAAAAGCUAGCACUGGGCCCCAACACCCCGGGCCUGACAUCUUCAAAAUAGCUUCCUCAAUCUUCUACAACCAAAACCAGGAGAAGGAGGAAAGAGCUCAGGAAAAGGGAGACAAAAGGAAAAGUAGCAGCUCCAACUCUUGGCUGCACUACAAGUCUGCCAGCCCCCUCCAGGUUGCCCUCAGAUUACCCUCGCAGGUAACUGCCAUCAGCACAGGAGGGCAGGCCACUGGAAGGCAAACUGCCCCAAUAGGACUGAUGGAAAAAAGCCCCGCAUGGCUUGCCCCCACUGCCACAAGCUUGGCCACUGAAAAUGGGACUGCCCUGAGGAUCGAAGGGACUCUGGGACAGAAUCCCAACCCCUGAUGGCCUUGAGCUGAAGGAGCCCUACACAUCAGCCAGCUCCCAGAUUGAACAUCACUGUUGAAGGGACAGACCCGAGGGCUGCUUUGGACAUGGCAGGUAGGACUAUAAGUUUUCUUUUGGAUAUGGGAGCGGACUACUCAGUGCUUACCUCUUUUCCUGAGCAAUUAUCCUCCAAAUCCUCGCUGGUGCUGGGGCUAAAUGAGGUGCCUAUAAGCUGAAGAUUUACUCCUCCUCUCUGGUGCCUGUAGGGGGAAACUAUCUUUUCUCAUUCAUUUUUAAUGAUGCCAGAAUGUCCUAUGCCCCUUUUGGGUAGAGAUAGUUUAUUUAGACUAGAGGCUUAGUUAACCUUUCCUCCAAGGCAACACCUCCUUUUCCAAAUGCAAUCUUAUGCCUCAAGGAAACCACACACAGGAUGAACUGCUGACAGACCUUUCCAUUAAUCCAGAGGUCUGGGCCACAGGAAUACAUGGAAAGGCCAUAAUGGCAAUGCCUGUAGUAAUUCAUCUCAAGGAUCCUUCUUGCUAUCCUUGUAGAAGGCAGCUGGCCAAAGAGGGACUUUGGCUCCUGAUUGAAAAAUUUCUGUAACGUGAAUUAUUAAUACUCGAUAACUUGCCCUGUAACACCUGCAUCCUACCUGUUAAGAAGAGCAAUGAGGCCAGGCGCAGUGGCUCACACCUAUAUCCCAGCACUUUGGGAGGCUGAGCCAGGUGGAUCACUUGAGGUCAGGAGUUUGAGACCAGCCUGGCCAACAUGGAGAAACCCCGUCUCUACU